rnacentral:rRNA from 1 species
UCCAGACUCCUACGGGAGGCAGCAGUGGGGAAUAUUGCACAAUGGGGGGAACCCUGAUGCAGCGACGCCGCGUGGGUGAAGGAGCGUUUCGGCGCGUAAAGCCCUCUCGGCAGGGAAGAAGGAGGACGGUACCUGACUAAGAAGCCCCGGCUAACUACGUGCCAGCAGCCGCGGUAAUACGUAGGGGGCAAGCGUUAUCCGGAUUUACUGGGUGUAAAGGGGGCGCAGACGGCAGCGCAAGCCAGGAGUGAAAGCCCGGGGCCCAACCCCGGGACUGCUCUUGGAACUGCGCGGCUGGAGUGCAGGAGGGGCAGGCGGAAUUCCUGGUGUAGCGGUGAAAUGCGUAGAUAUCAGGAGGAACACCGGUGGCGAAGGCGGCCUGCUGGACUGCGACUGACGUUGAGGCCCGAAAGCGUGGGGAGCAAACAGGAUUAGAUACCCCAGUAAUG